rfam:Ovis aries breed Texel chromosome 3, whole genome shotgun sequence.
UCCCUGGUGGCUCAGAGGUUAAAGCGUCUGCCUCCAAUGCAGGAGACCCAGGUUUGAUCCCUGGGUCGGGAA